rnacentral:pre_miRNA from 1 species
UUCCUACUCCCUCCGUUCGGAAUUACUUGUCGCGAAAAUGGAUGUAUCUAGAUGUAUUUUAGUUCUAGAUACAUCCAUUUUCAAGACAAGUAAUUUCGAACGGAGGGAGUAGUAA